rnacentral:rRNA from 1 species
UACGGAGGGUGCAAGCGUUAAUCGGAAUUACUGGGCGUAAAGCGCACGCAGGUGGCUGAGUCAGUCGAUUGUGAAAGCCCUGGGCUUAACCUGGGAAUUGCAGUCGAUACUACUCAGCUAGAGUAUGGGAGAGGGCAGUGGAAUUCCCGGUGUAGCGGUGAAAUGCGUAGAUAUCGGGAGGAACAUCAGUGGCGAAGGCGGCUGCCUGGCCCAAUACUGACACUCAGGUGCGAAAGCCAGGGGAGCAAACGGG